rnacentral:rRNA from 1 species
CGUGACGGCGCGAGCAGGUGCGAAAGCAGGUCAUAGUGAUCCGGUGGUUCUGAAUGGAAGGGCCAUCGCUCAACGGAUAAAAGGUACUCCGGGGAUAACAGGCUGAUACCGCCCAAGAGUUCAUAUCGACGGCGGUGUUUGGCACCUCGAUGUCGGCUCAUCACAUCCUGGGGCUGAAGUAGGUCCCAAGGGUAUGGCUGUUCGCCAUUUAAAGUGGUACGCGAGCUGGGUUUAGAACGUCGUGAGACAGUUCGGUCCCUAUCUGCCGUGGGCGCUGGAGAACUGAGGGGGGCUGCUCCUAGUACGAGAGGACCGGAGUGGACGCAUCACUGGUGUUCGGGUUGUCAUGCCAAUGGCACUGCCCGGUAGCUAAAUGCGGAAGAGAUAAGUGCUGAAAGCAUCUAAGCACGAAACUUGCCCCGAGAUGAGUUCUCCCUGAGACUUAGAG